AUGCGUUCUAAUUGGCGCCACUUCCUGUUAUCUUAGAUGUUUUACGACAGUCUGUUAGUGGUGAUAUUGGAGAGUACAAAAAUGGAUUCGUUUGUGUUUUAUGAACGACUUCAGAAAUUUCUCUAGUCAGUCCUUAAAAAUCAGUUUCUCACUCCUGACAUAUAAUAUUUUGUCAUAUUGUAUUUUCUUGGAAUCAAAAAAUAUAAUAAAAAGCAACAUAAAGAUUAUUAGAGAAAAACUACUUUUCACUCUUUACAGGAUUCCUUGUGUAUCCCUCCGUACGUUUCACCAACGUAAAAACGGGAAUUACAGAUUCAUAACCACAGUCUGAAAGGAGAGACAAGUAAACAAGUCAGCUGACACAACAACUAGUAUGAACGCUGUGCUGACCAGAAUCCAGUAAGACUUCAGACCGGAGAUAGUCAAAGUGAUAAAUGUGUGAAGUCACCUCUGAGAGUGAACCACGGGCCGGUUUCUCACAGGACCCGUCUGAACAAUCAAGUGUCCGGAACAGCUUAUCCUGCCCUGAUCAUUUAAAGAGACAGACACAC